UUGCCGUGAUGACUCUCACUAGGUUUCGCAUGUCGCUGAGUUCCAGUGAUGCCUCCUUUCUCUUGGCUAGCUGAGCAG